rnacentral:rRNA from 1 species
UACGUAGGGCGCAAGCGUUGUCCGGAAUUAUUGGGCGUAAAGAGCUCGUAGGCGGCUUGUUGCGUCUGCUGUGAAAUCCCCGGGGCUUAACCCCGGGCGUGCAGUGGAUACGGGCAGGCUGGAGGCAGGCAGGGGAGAAUGGAAUUCCCGGUGUAGCGGUGAAAUGCGCAGAUAUCGGGAGGAACACCGGUGGCGAAGGCGGUUCUCUGGGCCUGUUCUGACGCUGAGGAGC